rnacentral:rRNA from 1 species
CACAGAGGGUGCUAGCGUUGUUCGGAUUCAUUGGGCGUAAAGGGUGCGUAGGCGGCGCGGUAAGUCGGGUGUGAAAUCUCGGAGCUUAACUCCGAAACUGCAUUCGAUACUGCCGUGCUUGAGGACUGGAGAGGAGACUGGAAUUUACGGUGUAGCGGUGAAAUGCGUAGAUAUCGUAAGGAAGACCAGUGGCGAAGGCGGGUCUCUGGACAGUUCCUGACGCUGAGGCACGAAGGUCAGGGGAGCAAACGGG